GCAAUUACGUUGAGGCGGCGGGAUUCAAUAUUUGUUGACAUUUCAUCAUUUAUGUCACAAAGCUCGCUUUCAAGUAAUAACACAAAUCUUUGGAGGUUAUAUUCUUCACAAGUAAAAUAAUUUAAUAUGUUCUGGUGUUCUUGGAAACUUUCGACAAGCAGUGCAUGUCGCAUCUUCAAUUAUGUUGAAUCUACUCAAAUGAAUGAGCGGGUGCGGUGUAAUGCCCAAACAUGAGUCUGUUCAGUGUUGUAAUGAAGUCUCUACUCGCAAUCUUUAGCUGAUAAUACCAGGGUUUUCUAGGAGUAUUUGGGAGAGUUCUGGGUGGAAAAGAAGAUCCUCACCGGUUAUCUCAGGAGCACUAGAUUGAACAGGACGGAGACAAGUGAAACAAAGCUGUCUGCACAACUUCGCCCUCGUCUGAAGCCAUAUUGAACAUUUGGUAGUAUGUCAUUGUGUUCAACAAACCAGUCAAGCCGAGUUUUUAUCAUGUUCUCAAAUAUUUUACUUAGACAAGAUGAUAAUGAAAUAGGUCAGUAGGAAUUAGCACUAUCGGGCGGCACUGUCUUUAAAAUAGGUAUUGCACAUUGAGUUUUCCAUGACUCGGGAAUAAUCUGUUUCAUCCAUAAGUUAUUAAGAAUGUCUAACAGCCAGUUUCUUCAUCAAAAGUUAAAGUCAAAGUAAUGACUAAAGUUAAAGUAACGGUUAAAUUCAAUUUUUCUAUUAAUUUUGCUGUCACUUUAGCCUUGAAAAAACGAAUUUGACCGUUACUUUAACUUUAGACAUUACUUUAACUUUAACUUUUGAUGAAAAAACUGGCCAUAAGAAAAGUUUUUGAACUGACUGAUCAAGUUUUUUAAUUAAAAUUUAAGUUAAACCAUGUAAUCCAGGUGUUGUAUCUUCACGUGAAUUUAAAGAUGCAGAAAAUUCCUGAAAUAAAAACUUUUCUAAGAGAAAUUUCCUAUUUUUAAUUAUCGUUAUGAAAAUUAAAAUAUUUUUCUAACUUUGUAAAUUGUAUCCAGAAAUAUUAAAUAAUCUAUUGUUUUUAAACCAUGUUUCAUGUAAAAGAAAAAUAUCAAUAUUUUCAUUUGCAAAAAAAUCUAUUAAUAAGGGUUUUUUAUUAUAUGCGUUUUGUAUAUUGAACUGUGCUAUCCGUAACUGUGACUGUGAUAAGGUGCUAUAGGAAAGAUAUUUAUGUAACAUAUUGUUAACUGUUUUAUUAUUCAUUGGAGUCCCAUCACCCUUAUUGCUAAUUUCAAGUACAGUGCGAAUAAUUGCUGAGUUUAAAUCUGUAUUAUUUAUUAGUUGCUCUUUUAAAUUAAUUUGAGGAGCUUGUGUAGUGGGAACUACAGGUAAUUUAUUAAUCUUAGAAGUAGAGCUACUAUCUACCUUAUGUGCAGAUGAAGGCGCAAAUUUAAUUUACAUUUUGUACAAUUUUUCAGGUGUGGUUUUAAUUAUAUUAAUAUUCACAAAA